rnacentral:rRNA from 1 species
GUGACGAAGCGACGCCGCGUGCGGGAAGAAGGCCUUCGGGUUGUAAACCGCUGUCGGGAGUUAAGAAAUGUAAGGAUGUUAAUAGCGUCUUUACUUGACUAAGGCUCCGGAGGAAGCCACGGCUAACUCUGUGCCAGCAGCCGCGGUGAUACAGAGGCGGCAAGCGUUGUUCGGAAUUAUUGGGCGUAAAGAGCACGUAGGCGGCUAUGUAAGUCGGUUGUGAAAGCCUUCCGCUCAACGGGAGAACAGCAUCCGAUACUGCAUGGCUUGAGUGCGGGAGGGGAGAGUGGAACUUCUGGUGGAGCGGUGAAAUGCGUAGAUAUCAGAAGGAACGCCGGCGGCGAAAGCGGCUCUCUGGCCCAUAACUGACGCUGAGUGUGCGAAAGCUAGGGGAGCAAACGGGAUUAGAUACCCCGGUAGUCCUAGCCGUAAACGAU